ensembl:lncRNA
CAGGAGUCCCUCACAACUGACAUGGGUACUGGAGAAGACUUGGAAUCCCUCACCAACUGACAUGGGUACUGGAGAAGACUCGGAAUCCCUCACCAACUGACAUGGGUACUGAGAAGACUCAGGUACUGGAGAAGACUCGGGAAUCCCUCACCAACUGACAUGGGUAUGGAGAAGACUUAGGCUGGAGAAGACUCAGGAAUCCCUCACCAACUGACAUGGGUACUGGAGAAGACUCAGGAAUCCCUCACCAACUGACAUGGGUACUGGAGAAAUACCAAACCAUCAAGAUACCAACCAUCAAAAUCACAGGCCUGCCCGAGAUAGUGAAACUACCACAGGCUACCACCUUUACUGCUAAUCUGUUGAUGGAGAUCUUGGGGAGGAGUUGCUGUCACAGUCACCUGAGGUUGCCGGUGAGGUUCCAUCAAUACUCAGUGAAGGAUAGUGUCCUCCACUCAGCAACAGAAAAACUCUUGAGUUCCAAGGGUCUGAACUCCGGCUGAUCCCUAGCUACUACAGCGAGGUGACCAAGGACCGGCCAGCUACUAAAGCAGGUGACCAAGGACCGGCCAGCUACUACAGCGAGGUGACCAAGGACCGGCCAGCUACUAAGCGAGGUGACCAAGGACCGGCCAGCUACUACAGCAAGGUAACCAAGGACCAGCCAGCUACUACAGCAAGGUGACCAAGGACCGGCCAGCUACUACAGCGAGGUGACCAAGGACCGGCCAGCUACUACAGCUACUACAGCAAGGUGACCAAGGAUGGCCAGCUACUACAGCGAGUGACCAAGGACCGGCCAGCUAUACAGCGAGUGCACCAAGGACCGGCCAGCUACUACGCGAGGCGACCAAGGCCGGCCAGCUACUACAGCGAGGCGACCAAGGACCGGCCAGCUACUACAGCGGUGACCAAGGACGGCAGCUACUACAGCGAGGUGACCAAGGACCGGCCCGCUACUACAGCGAGGUGACCAAGGAUCCCGGCCAGCUACUACAGCGAGGCGACCAAGGACCGGCCAGGAGACUACAGCGAGGCGACCAAGACCGGCCAGUACUACAGACGAGGCGACCAAGGACCGGCCAGCUACUACAGCGAGGCGACCAAGGACCGGAGUCUACAGCGAGCGACCAAGGACCGGCCAGCUGCUACAGCGAGGCGACCAAGGACCGGCCAGCUGCUACAGCGAGGCGACCAAGGACCGGCAGCUGCUACAGCGAGGCGACCAAGACCGGCCAGCUGCUACAGCGAGGCGACCAAGGACCGGCCAGCUGCUACAGCGAGGCGACCAGGACCGGCCAGCUGCUACAGCGAGGCGACCAAGGACCGGCCAGCUGCUACAGCGAGGCGACCAAGGACCGGCCAGCUGCUACAGCGAGGCGACCAGACCGGCCAGCUGCUACAGCGAGGCGACCAGGGACCGGCCAGCUGCUACAGCGAGGCGACCAGGACGGCCAGCUGCACACGCGAGUGGCACCCCAAGGACCGGCCAGCUGCCUACAGCGGGAACCAAGGACCGGCCAGCUGCACAGCGAGGUGGCGCCAAGGACCGGCCAGCUGUACAGCGAGGCGACAAGGACCGGCCAGCUGCUACAGCGAGGCGACCAAGGACCGGCCAGCUGCUACAGCGAGGCGACACGGACCGGCCAGCUGCUACAGCGAGGCGACCAAGGACCGGCCAGCUGCUACAGCGAGGCGACCAAGGACCGGCCAGCUGCUACAGCGAGGAGGCGACCAAGGACCGGCCAGCUGCUACCAGCGAGGCGACCAAGGACCGGCCAGCUGCUACGCGAGGCGACCAAGGACCCGGCCAGCUGCUACAGCGAGGCGACCAAGGACGGCAGCUGCCUACAGCGAGGCGACCAAGGACCGCCAGCUGCUACAGCGAGGCGACCAAGGACCGGCCAGCUGCUACAGCGAGGCGACCAGGACCGGCCCGCUGCUACAGCGAGGCACAAGGACGGCCAGC